rfam:Cyclobacterium marinum DSM 745, complete genome.
GAUGGUAGGUCCAUCAGGGUCGUUGUAUAGGCGAUGGCUCUAAACCACCUAAAGGUGCUUUGAUUAAUAGUCUUGGUGCUGAGCGUUUAGGAGAAUCUAGUCCAAAGAGGCUAGCAGGU